CUGCAUCUCUCUAUCUGACGCACCUCCUCCUCGCGUCCACCGCUUAACGGCCUGACCGCCUCGCCGCCACCGCCGCCUGUCCACCCGCCUCCAUGCAGCCGCGCUCACCGGCGGCGGCAGCGUCAGCGGGCGCUAUGGCGCCCGGCGUGGGCGGCGUCGAGCCGGCCGUGACGCUGGACCAGGUGCCGCGCUGGAGCGACCCCAACCAGCGCCUGUACCCCGCGCCCGCCUCCGCCGCAGACGGCGGCGCGUAUGCGGAGGGCGGAUCCGGGCCUCCAGCGGCGCCCGCCUACCUUUCGUUCUCCGACCCUCUCACGGGCGACGACGCUGGCGGCGGGGGGCACGGUGGCGCCUCGCGCUUCCCCGUCGACCAGGAGAUCAACUCCAGGAUAUACCUCUGGCGCGGCCACCCCUGGAACCUCGAGGUCGACGCCGUUGUCAACUCCACCAACGAGAGCUUGGACGAGGCGCACAGUAGUCCUGGGCUGCACGCCGCAGCUGGGUCAGGGCUCGCGGGGGAAUGCGCUACCUUGGGUGGGUGCCGAACCGGGAUGGCGAAGAUGACCAAUGCCUAUGAUUUGCCCGCAAGGAAGGUCAUCCAUACUGUGGGCCCCAAAUAUGCUGUCAAGUAUCACACAGCUGCGGAGAAUGCACUUAGUCACUGCUACCGGUCUUGUUUGGAACUACUCAUUGAGAAUGGUCUUGAAAGCAUCGCAAUGGGUUGCAUAUACACGGAAGCUAAAAACUACCCGCGUGAACCAGCUGCUCAUGUGGCAAUAAGAACUGUUAGACGUUUUCUGGAGAAACAAAAGGGCAAAAUAGCUGGUGUUGUUUUUUGUACUACAUCAUCAUUUGAUACAGAGAUAUACAAGCGGUUGCUCCCACUAUAUUUCCCUCGGGACAAGCAGGAGGAAGAGAUUGCUGUAUCAAAACUCCCAGCUGAUGUCGGGGAUGAGAAUGGUGAGACGGUAAUAGAUGAAAGGAAAAUAAGAAUAAGACCUUUGCCUGCUGGGAUGGUAGACAAAACAGUGACUGCGGCUCCUAUUGAUCUUCCACUUUCUGAUUCUGGAUCGGCAUUGAAGAGGAGUUCUUUCAAGUUGGAUUCAUAUUUGGAUCCUUCAUUUAUGUCAUUGAUUAAAGAUCCAGAUCUGAGGCGCAAGGAGCAGUGGGAAAAAUCUGUUCAAGCUCAAAAGGGAUUUAAUUAUGCUAAGUUACUUGGAUAUGGCGAUCUAGGUUGCCCUUCAUUAUCUGCAGCAGAGGAAUAUUCACUUCAUUCACGAUACCUUGCUAAAGCAAAUUCUCUUAAUCUUUCAGAGAUUGCUGAAAUGAAAAUAAUUUAUCGUGGUGGAGUUGACAUUGAAGGACGCCCGGUUAUGGUUGUUGUUGGUGCACACUUUCUUCUUCGCUGCCUUGAUCUUGAACGAUUUGUUCUACAUGUAGUGAAGGAGUUUGAACCGUUGAUUCAGAAGCCAUAUACCAUUGUAUAUUUCCACUCUGCAGCAUCAUUACAACCGCAGCCAGAUUUUGGAUUCAUGAAGCGGUUACAACAAAUACUAGGGCGGAAACAUCGGCGGAACCUUCAUGCAAUUUAUGUUCUCCACCCAACAUUGGGAUUGAGAACAGCUGUUUUGGCAAUGCAGCUGGUUGUAGAUGGAGAGGUCUGGAAGAAAGUUGUAUAUGUGGAUAGGCUUGUGCAGCUGUUCAGAUAUGUACCACGUGAACAACUUACAGUUCCUGAUUUUGUCUUUCAGCACGAUUUGGAGGUGAAUGGCGGGAGGGGCCUAAUUGUUGACCCAAGAACGAAACACAUUUAUCAAAGAGCAUCUGGUUGAUAUGUGAUGGUUCAAAGGUCCAAAGCCCAUUAGCUCUUCCGCUGUACCAUUCUGAUGUUUCUUGUAACUGUAUUCCAUGUUGAUGUUUCUUUCUGCAUCUAGUUAAGGUGGUCUAUUCUAUUCUUUUGUUCUUCUGCCUAUCGCAAAGGGGAAUUUUGUUUGUACAUGUUGGUUUGUACAACCAAAUAAGUUAGGCCCUAAUAACUAAAGUUCAGUAGUUAUUGAUGCCUCUGGCAUGCUGAGAAGUCCAGUUCUGUGCAUUUGUGCAUCAGAGGUGUCCUCUGCGAUCGGCUUUGCUUUGAAUUCAUUGAAUUGUGAUUUCAAUAUAUGGAUCCUCAGCUUCUACAUAUGGAUUUGGGGGUAUGUCGGCUGUCAUCAAACACUUGUAAUAAUCUGCUGCUCCUGUAAUCAACUGUAAUAAGUUUAUGCUUUCAUAUAAGGUGCAGUUUUAAUGGCAUGUCAGUAUUAUCUAGU